rnacentral:rRNA from 1 species
AGGAGUGGAGCCUGCGGCUUAAUUUGACUCAACACGGGAAACCUCACCAGGCCCGGACACCGGAAGGAUUGACAGAUUGAGAGCUCUUUCUUGAUUCGGUGGGUGGUGGUGCAUGGCCGUUCUUAGUUGGUGGAGCGAUUUGUCUGGUUAAUUCCGAUAACGAACGAGACUCUAGCCUGCUAACUAGGCGUACUUUCCGGUAUCUCGAAGGCCGACGUCUCUCGGGUCUCCGUUGGCGCAGUUACGCAUCGUUUCGGCGGUGUCGUGGCUGUGUUGCGGUCCGGGAGUUCGUGGUUUUUACUACCGGCGUACAAUUGAAUCUUCUUAGAGGGACAGGCGGCUCCUAGUCGCACGAGAUUGAGCAAUAACAGGUCUGUGAUGCCCUUAGAUGUUCUGGGCCG